rnacentral:rRNA from 1 species
ACGAACGCUGGCGGCGUGCUUAACACAUGCCAGUCGCACGGAAAGGCCCUGCUUUUGUGGGGUGCUCGAGUGGCGAACGGGUGAGUAACACGUGAGUAACCUGCCCUUGACUUUGGGAUAACUUCAGGAAACUGGGGCUAAUACCGGAUAGGAGCUCCUGCUGCAUGGUGGGGGUUGGAAAGUUUCGGCGGUUGGGGAUGGACUCGCGGCUUAUCAGCUUGUUGGUGGGGUAGUGGCUUACCAAGGCUUUGACGGGUAGCCGGCCUGAGAGGGUGACCGACCACAUUGGGACUGAGAUACGGCCCAGACUCCUACGGGAGGCAGCAGUGGGGAAUAUUGCACAAUGGGCGGAAGCCUGAUGCAGCAACGCCGCGUGCGGGAUGACGGCCUUCGGGUUGUAAACCGCUUUCGCCUGUGACGAAGCGUGAGUGACGGUAAUGGGUAAAGAAGCACCGGCUAACUACGUG